GACGAACGCUGGCGGCGUGCCUAAUACAUGCAAGUAGAACGCACAGUUUAUACCGUAGCUUGCUACACCAUAAACUGUGAGUUGCGAACGGGUGAGUAACGCGUAGGUAACCUGCCUGGUAGCGGGGGAUAACUAUUGGAAACGAUAGCUAAUACCGCAUAAUAUUGAUUAUUGCAUGAUAAUUGAUUGAAAGAUGCUAUUGCAUCACUACCAGAUGGACCUGCGUUGUAUUAGCUAGUAGGUGAGGUAACGGCUCACCUAGGCGACGAUACAUAGCCGACCUGAGAGGGUGAUCGGCCACCCUGGGACUGAGACACGGCCCCGACUCCUACGGGAGGCAGCAGUAGGGAAUCUUCGGCAAUGGACGAAAGUCUGACCGAGCAACGCCGCGUGAGUGAAGAAGGUUUUCGGAUCGUAAAGCUCUGUUGUAAGAGAAGAACGGGUGUGAGAGUGGAAAGUUCACACUGUGACGGUAUCUUACCAGAAAGGGACGGCUAACUACGUG
rnacentral:rRNA from 1 species